rnacentral:rRNA from 1 species
GCCUAAUACAUGCAAGUCGAACGAGAGCGACCGGUGCUUGCACUGGUCAAUCUAGUGGCGAACGGGUGAGUAACACGUGGGUAACCUGCCCAUCAGAGGGGGAUAACAUUCGGAAACGGAUGCUAAAACCGCAUAGGUCUUCGAGCCGCAUGGCUUGAAGAGGAAAAGAGGCGCAAGCUUCUGCUGAUGGAUGGACCCGCGGUGCAUUAGCUAGUUGGUGAGGUAACGGCUCACCAAGGCCGUGAUGCAUAGCCGACCUGAGAGGGUGAUCGGCCACAUUGGGACUGAGACACGGCCCAAACUCCUACGGGAGGCAGCAGUAGGGAAUCUUCCGCAAUGGACGCAAGUCUGACGGAGCAACGCCGCGUGAGUGAAGAAGGUUUUCGGAUCGUAAAACUCUGUUGUUAGAGAAGAACAAGUGCUAGAGUAACUGUUAGCGCCUUGACGGUAUCUAACCAGAAAGCCACGGCUAACUACGUGCCAGCAGCCGCGGUAAUACGUAGGUGGCAAGCGUUGUCCGGAUUUAUUGGGCGUAAAGCGAGCGCAGGCGGUUCCUUAAGUCUGAUGUGAAAGCCCCCGGCUCAACCGGGGAGGGUCAUUGGAAACUGGGGAACUUGAGUGCAGAAGAGGAGAGUGGAAUUCCAUGUGUAGCGGUGAAAUGCGUAGAUAUAUGGAGGAACACCAGUGGCGAAGGCGACUCUCUGGUCUGUAACUGACGCUGAGGCUCGA